UUUACAUGAUGAAAUUAUUCCAGCUGAAAUACAUGAUUUUCAAAUUUACGAGCUUUUUAACACUGAUCUUU
rfam:Tetranychus urticae London genomic scaffold, scaffold_3